ensembl:lncRNA
AAAGUGAGGCGGAAGAGCCACUGACCCUCCCCAGGGUGGGUGUCUGCAUCAGGUGUGGGGCCAAAGGAGAAGAGGGAAUGAGCCUUGAGCUGGCUGAGGUGAAGGUUUGCACUUAGAUUGGCCUGGAAUAUUUAAUGUCUGAAAAUCAGAAUCAUUGGUUAAUAUCUGAAAGUGACCAGAGCAUUUGGGGACCUUCCCAAGAUAUUGUCCCAGGAUGGGAAGAGAAAACCAAGAGCAAGAAGGUUUGAAAGGCAAGGGGGAGAAAAAAGGAAAGGUGACGUCCAGUUACACAAUCAGUCCAGGCAGUGAACCAGCGCCCUCUUUUACCCAGCCAUCACGCUCUCUGCCGAGCUGCUCUCACCUCUCUUGGGAAACAUGACACCUGCAUCUUAGCCUGCCAUCAUUUUACUAAAUUGCUUUUUUUCUGGGCCAGGAAGGAUGCCUCGGCACCACAGUGAGGGGAGAGGGUGAGGAAAAGGGCAGAAAUUCCAGAGGGGACCUCAGGAAUUAGGAGGACCGUGUGUGAACUGAACGACCUUUCAUGGCCUGCAUCUCUCGGGACUGGGCCUGAGCCGCUUUGGGGAACCAGGCCCAAACUCCACCACCAAAAAGGAAAAUACGGUGAGACUGAAAGGGAACAGCUUAGAACAUUCUCUCCACCUGGGUUUUCUUGACCUAAGCAGAUGGGAUGGCUUCUGUCUGACUCACCCUAAGCCUGACCUACUUGUGAAAUGCUUUCUGUACAAAAAGCUGGAGAACAUUAUCCUGGAUAAAGUCAACAGGCUUCACCAGACUGACUGCUGAAGGUGUCCAGGGUAUGAAAAUGUUAAGAACUUACAGAGUGCAGAGGCAGUCCCCAAGACCACCCUCACUUCUGAUGCCAACUGCAAGAGGUCUGGGCUUCCCAGGUGGCUUGGUGGUAAAGAAUCCAGCUGCUAAUAUAGGAGGCAGCUGCCAUGCAGGAGAUGCGUGUUUGAUCCCUAGGUUGAGAAGAUCCCUUGGAGAAGGAAAUGUCCAGUAUCCUUGCCAGGAUAAUCCCAUGGACACAGAAGCCUGGAAGGCUACGGUCCAUGAGGUCGCAAAGAGUCAGACAGCUGAGCCGACUAGGCACUCACGCCUGAGUUUAUUUCUGUCUUGUAAACAAGUUGAUUCGUAUGAUUUAGAUUCCACAUGGAAGUGCCAUCAUAUGAUACUUGUCUCUCUCUGUCUGACUUACUUCCCUGAGUAUGAUAAUCUCUGUGGUCCAUCGUUGGUGCUGAGGCCACCUGCAAUUUUGAUAAAUUACUAGAAGAACUUACCAAAUUCAACUGAGCUGUUAUAGCUAUGGUUUACUACCAGUACUCAUCCAAGGGAGGAAACACCUGUGCAGAAAUUUCCAAGAGAGGAACUCCCAGCUGUCCUCUCCCCGUGGAGUCCUGAACAGCACUGACUUCUCCUGGCAAUGA